AACGCUUCAGGCCGCACAUGCACCGUAGCCGUCGUCCACAGAACCUCGCAUGGGCCUCCUGCCGCUGUUCCUCCGGGCUGUCGCGAGGCUGGCUGCGUGCCUGGCGAGCCGGCCGCUGCCCGAGACGGCGGCGACCGUACUGUUCCACGCCGGGGCGCUGCCGCGGGACCCCGCGCUGGAGCGCCUGGUCUGCGACGACGUGCUCGACGGCGGCGGCGGCGGCGAAGGCGACUGCGACAUCCUGCGUUUCGUCGUCGGCGUCAUGAGGUCCUUGGGCUAGCCGUCAGCCACACCUGCACUGCACCUGCACGGCUGCACGGCCAGAGUUCUUCAAGACAUGCGCUGCUGACCGCUGGAGUGCUGACUUUGCCCUCCGUUCUUUUUUUUUCUCUCUCUCUUUUGAUUGGCAAACUAGUAUGACCUAGCUACCAGUUUGGCCUCAGUGUCAAUGGUCUGAAUCAAAGGUACAAAUGACACCCCCAAAAAAAAGCACUUCACGAUUUCUUUCAUCUAUCUAUAACAAUAUUGGAACAAGACUAGCAGUUGUUUCGGUUGAAACUAUGACCUAGUACAUAUAUAAAAUUGAUU